UGGUGGUGGUAGUGUGAUGGUCUGGGGCUGUUUUGCUGCUUCUGCACCUGGAAGACUUGCUGUGAUAAAUGGAACCAUGAAUUCUACUGUCUACCAAAAAAUUCUGAAGGAGGAUGUCCGUCCGUCUGUUCAUGACCUCAAGUUAAAACGAACUCGGGUUCUGCAGCAGGACAAUGAUCCAAAACCCAACAGCAAGUCCACCUCUGAAUGGUCAAAUUAAAGUCCGGACCGGAAUCCUAUUGAGAUGCUGUGGCCUGACCCUUAAAAAGGCGGUUAAUGCUUGAAAACCCUCCAAUGUGCAAUCACUUUUUCACACGGGGUCAUGUAGGUUUGGAUUUUUUCCUCCCUUAAUAAUAAAAAUCUUAAUUUAAAAACUAUAUUUUGUCUUCAGUUGUGUUUUCUUUGACUAAUAUUUAAAUCUAUUUAAUGAUCUGAAACAUUUAAGAGAGACAAACAUGCAAAACAAAAAUAAGAAAUCAGGAAGGGGGAAAACACUUUUUCACACCACUGUAUAUAAGACCUUACAGAUCUAUAUGUCAGGGUUUUUACUGCU